AAAUGGAAAUAUCUCAAGAGGGAUUCAGUGCAAUUCAUGUGCCUGAGGGAAUUCAGAUGUCUAUUGUUGGUGCAAACCAGUGGAAGGGAGGCUACGUGCAAUACACAACAGGAGGCCAGAAGGUGAAAACAUAUGAGGAUGUGUCUUUGGAGCCUGACAGUUAUCUUGGUUACUCAGUGGCAAUUGCUAAAACUCAAAGCGGCUCUCUGACA